CGGAAAAGAAUUUUUUGGAUUAUUUUUUUUUUGAGAGAUAGGUAGCACGCUACCCGCUUCGUUUAUUUCAUUUAGAAAUAAACUUAGCUGAAAAUGUGAAUCAACUAGGAUUCGAACUUGGGUCUCGGGUACCAACUAUCAAACCCUUUGCCACUUGCUCUAGGGACGGUUGGUAAUUUUUUUGGAUUAUUAAAUCCUGCUUUUUGAGUAUUAGGAUAGGAUAGAUUUU
rnacentral:lncRNA from 1 species